AGGCCUGUAGCUCUAACUGGCAGAGCGUCGGACUCCAAAUCCGGUGGUUGCAGGUUCGAAUCCUGCCAGGCCUGCCA
rnacentral:tRNA from 1 species